rnacentral:rRNA from 1 species
GGUGAACGCUAGCGGCAGGCCUAAUACAUGCAAGUCGAACGGCAAGUUUUGUAGCAAUACGGAACCUAGAGUGACGUACGGGUGCGUAACACGUAUGCAACCUACCCAUAACUGGAGGAUAGCUCCCCGACAGGGGAAUUAACCCUCCAUAGUAAGAUUGGAUGGCAUCAUUUGAUCUUUAAAACUCCGGUGGUCAUGGAUGGGCAUGCGUCUGAUUAGUUAGUUGGCGGUGUAACGGACCACCAAGACGAUGAUCAGUAGGGGAACUGAGAGGUUGAUCCCCCACACUGGCACUGAGAUACGGGCCAGACUCCUACGGGAGGCAGCAGUAUGGAAUAUUGGUCAAUGGAUGCAAGUCUGAACCAGCCAUGCCGCGUGCAGGAAGAAGGCCCUAUGGGUUGUAAACUGCUUUUGCCAGGGGAUAAAAUGAGCAUGCGUGCUUAAUUGAAGGUACCUGGUGAAUAAGCCACGGCUAACUACGUGCCAGCAGCCGCCGCAGUAU